UACGUAGGGUGCAAGCGUGUCCGGAAUUAUUGGGCGUAAAGAGCUCGUAGGCGGUGUGUCGCGUCGGCCGUGAAAACCUGCAGCUUAACUGUGGGCUUGCGGUCGAUACGGGCAUCACUGGAGUUCGGCAGGGGAGACUGGAAUUCCUGGUGUAGCGGUGAAAUGCGCAGAUAUCAGGAGGAACACCGGUGGCGAAGGCGGGUCUCUGGGCCGAUACUGACGCUGAGGAGCGAAAGCGUGGGGAGCGAACAGG
rnacentral:rRNA from 1 species